UCUGAUGUGAGAAAUGAGGCAGUCUGCCACCUUCUUUCCCUGCUAAAUACAUCAACACCAGGCAUAGAAAGGGGAAGAGGAGACAGAUUCUGCAGGCUUGGGAGGUCCCCUUCAGCUAACCAUGUCUUCAAGGCACCUGAAGAUCCCUUGAAGACACCCUUCCACUGGGGCUACAAGAAGGCAGAGCUGCAUGAACAAAGAGCUUCAGCUACAACACAGUUUUAUUCAGGGCAAGAAGCAGGCUUGGAGCUGGGGACCAACAUGAGCUGUCAGCUUGCUUCAUGGCUGCUCAUGUUUAGCUAUUAUGAAGCACAUGCACCUGUACAGUCAUCAUCACAGUGGGCUUCUCUGGAGCAUUGUUCCAGACAGCCAAUCAUGGGGGUCUCAGAUGUCGCUUACCUCAUUUAAAUGCCUGCCUCUAUAUAUAAGUAGAGCAGGGGACGUUCAAUGGUAUUUGUAGGCAAGGGGGUGUGGUUGAGCUGAGCUCAACAGAGCAGAGCAAAGUGGAGCAGAACCAAACAGAGCAAUGGCUGCUGCCCAAAGAAGAAGGAAGAAGACCCAGCAUCAGCAGAAAACGAGUCCCCGUGGGAGAUCUCCUGCCAAGCAGAGGCCCCAACGUAAGCAGAACAGACACACAAGGAGGAAGCCAUAAUUAAAGAAAAGCAGCCAUGGGAAGAAAAGCUCCUUCAAUUCGUGUUCCUCCAAGAUGCUGAAACAGCUGAGGUGGGGCAACCGGAGCUUGUCAUCCAGAGCCAAAGGGCUGAUGAUCAACUUCAUGAAUGACAUCUACAAAACAGUGUCCAUGGAAGCCGAACGCCUGAGGAAGCAGAGCCAUCGCUUCACCAUCGGCCCCACACAGAUGCAAGCCGCUCUGCGGGAAGUAAUGCUCUCUAGGAUGUCUAAUUAAAGAACCAUCACUCCCUCCCUCUUCCCCCAGAGCCCAUCCUGGCUGGAAUGAGAGAAAGAAUAAGUGAGAGGAGCACAAGCCAGCCAGAAAGACCUCUUCAUUCACCUGAUUCAAGAUCUAACAUUGCCUUAAAAAUGCCAGUUACAAAACCUGCCCGCUGCCUCUUAGUUGGGGGACCCUCUUCACAAACAGCCAUCCUUCAUGAGAGAUACCACGUGGAGGACUGAACCAGUCUCUCUGACUGUAAAAGAGAAGCUCCCAAGGCUGAUUAAUGAUUUGAUGGAUUAAAAAUGUAUGCAAGGCACUUUCCUGAGAGACAUGAAACAGUUGUCUUGGCAUUCUAAUAAAAUACAAUUUAGCAACAUU